ensembl:snRNA U6 U6 spliceosomal RNA
UUACUUCAGCAUUAUAUGUACUAAGAUUGGAAUGAUACAAAGAAGAUUAGCAUGGUUCCUGUGCAAAGUUAACAUGCAAAUUUAUGAACCAUUCCAUAUUUUG